GGAGGAUUCGCCUAGUGGCCUAUGGCGCAUGCUUGGAAAGCAUGUUUACCGAAAGGUAUCGAGGGUUCGAAUCCCUCAUCCUCCG
rnacentral:tRNA from 1 species